rnacentral:misc_RNA from 1 species
GUUCGAGCGUCAUUAUAACCACUCAAGCUCACGCUUGGUAUUGGGGUUCGCGUGCUCGCGGCCCUUAAAAUCAGUGGCGGUGCCGUCUGGCUCUACGCGUAGUAAUUUCUCUCGCGAUGGAGUUCCGGCGGUUGCUUGCCAAAACCCCCCUAUUUUCUCAGGUUGACCUCGGAUCAGGUAGGGAUACCCGCUGAACUUAA